GACGAACGCUGGCGGCGUGCUUAACACAUGCAAGUCGAACGGUAAGGCCCUUCGGGGUACACGAGUGGCGAACGGGUGAGUAACACGUGGGUGAUCUGCCCUGCACUUCGGGAUAAGCCUGGGAAACUGGGUCUAAUACCGGAUAGGACCACUGCCUGCAGGGGUGGUGGUGGAAAGCUUUUGCGGUGUGGGAUGGGGCCGCGGCCUAUCAGCUUGUUGGGGGGGUGAUGGCCUACCAAGGUGACGACGGGUAGCCGGCCUGAGAGGGUGACCGGCCACACUGGGACUGAGAUACGGCCCAGACUCCUACGGGAGGCAGCAGUGGGGAAUAUUGCACAAUGGGCGCAAGCCUGAUGCAGCGACGCCGCGUGAGGGAUGACGGCCUUCGGGUUGUAAACCUCUUUCAGCACCGACGAAGCGCAAGUGACGGUAGGUGCAGAAGAAGGACCGGCCAACUACGUGCCAGCCGCCGCUGUAA
rnacentral:rRNA from 1 species